rnacentral:other from 1 species
UUUUGCCUGCCCUGUUUGUGAGCUGACCGGGGAUAUUUCUUGAGCCUUAAUGCAUUUCCCCGGGGGUGAUAAAGCGUUGUGGUGUGCAUGUCCGUCACGUAACGGAAAGCCUGAAACAGCGUGGUUUACUCCCACUUGAGCCUCAGGUUCAAGAACAAAGGUCACCACGGCAGUGGCGGGCACUUA